UUCUAUAACUAUACCACCCUGAAUGCCCCCUAUCUCCUCUGAUCUUGGAAGGUAAGCAAGGUUGGGCCUGAUUAGUACUUGGAGGGGAGUUCCAAUUUUUCAGUCC
rfam:Cavia porcellus supercont2_224 genomic scaffold, whole genome shotgun sequence.